UCUAAAUAAAGGUAUCUCCCUGCACAAACAGUCCGUUUUAAGUGCAAUGAACCUUGCAAAAUCCUCCCAGAACCCAAAUCUAAUGUAGAGUUGAAAAGCCGACGGUAAAAACUGGGAUCAAAAGUUUCAUCUGGGAAUAAGUUUUUACUAAUUUCUCUGCUGUCCUCUGCCAGCAACAAUGUCAAGCGCUGUCUUUAUUAUAAUACAUUUCCUAGAAUCUAUAAGAAGUCUGCUCUACCUUGCAGGUUUGGCCGCCCGUCCCAAGCGCUGGACACCAAAACUAUGGAGAUGGAACAAAAUUUGGCGUUUCGGAAAUAAAGAUUCUGAUGAACAUCUUGAGGAAUCUGCACAGAGCGAUGUGGAGGAGAACAUGAGAUCAGAACUUAGAAAGUCGAACGCCCAGGGUAACCUCUGUUUGGCCGCCCGUCCCAAGCGCUGGACACCAAAACUAUGGAGAUGGAACAAAAUUUGGCGUUUCGGAAAUAAAGGUUCUGUUGAACAUCUGCAGGCGUUCCCACAUGGCGGUGUGGAGGAGAAUACGGGAUCAGAACUUGAUUUAUCUACAGCUGAGUAUGACAACCGUCCUGUUGAAGAGCUGCAGGAGCCUGCCCAUGGCAGCGUGGAGGAUAUGAAAUCAGAACUUGUAAGACGUAUUUCUUUCUCUGGAAGAGAAAUGUUUUUUUGUUUUGGUUUUUGUUUUUUCUGUGGCUUCUAG
rnacentral:lncRNA from 10 species